rnacentral:miRNA from 1 species
CCGAGCCCCUGUGCCGCCCCCAG